GAUGAACGCUAGCUACAGGCUUAACACAUGCAAGUCGAGGGGAAACGAUAGAGAAAGCUUGCUUUUUCUAGGCGUCGACCGGCGCACGGGUGAGUAACGCGUAUCCAACCUGCCCAUCACUUGGGGAUAACCUUGCGAAAGUAAGACUAAUACCCAAUGACGUCUCUAGAAGACAUCUGAAAGAGAUUAAAGAUUUAUCGGUGAUGGAUGGGGAUGCGUCUGAUUAGCUUGUUGGCGGGGUAACGGCCCACCAAGGCGACGAUCAGUAGGGGUUCUGAGAGGAAGGUCCCCCACAUUGGAACUGAGACACGGUCCAAACUCCUACGGGAGGCAGCAGUGAGGAAUAUUGGUCAAUGGACGAGAGUCUGAACCAGCCAAGUAGCGUGCAGGAUGACGGCCCUAUGGGUUGUAAACUGCUUUAUAAGGGAAUAAAGUGAGUCUCGUGAGACUUUUUGCAUGUACCUUAUGAAUAAGGACCGGCUAAUUCCGUG
rnacentral:rRNA from 1 species